AGCAGCCGCGGUAAUUCCAGCUCCAAUAGCGUAUAUUAAAGUUGUUGCAGUUAAAAAGCUCGUAGUUGAAUUUCGGGAUCAAUAUAUCGGUCGUGCCAUUGGUACGUACUGGUAUCAUUGGUUUCUCCUUUCUGACGAACCAUGAUGUCAUUAAUUUGGUGUUAUGGGAAGUUAGGACUGUUACUUUGAAAAAUUAGAGUGUUUAAAGCAGGCUUUAGCUUGAAUACAUUAGCAUGGAAUAAUGAAAUAGGACGUUCGAACCUAUUUUGUGGUUUCUAGGAUCAACGUAAUGAUUAAUAGGGAUAGUUGGGGGCAUUAGUAUUCAAUUGUCAGAGGUGAAAUUCUUGGAUUUAUUGAAGACUAACUACUGCGAAAAGCAUUUGCCAAGGAUGUUUUCAUUAAUACAAGAACGAAAGUUAGGGGAUCGAAGACGAUCAGAUACCGUCGUAG
rnacentral:rRNA from 1 species